UUUAUUUCUCAUAAAAAAAAAAAUCAACAUUUCUAAAUCAGGGUCUUUUUCAUCUUAAAUAGCCAUUGCCAAUAUUUAAUUUUCUUGGAUUUUUAUUAAUUUUUUUUUGAGUUUUUUCAUAUAAAAAUCCAAUCUUUGGGCCAUUUCUGUAUCUGGGGUAUUUUCUUUUUUAAUUUGGAAUUGAUCCCUUCAAUUGUCCUUUUUUUCCACUCAGAUUACAAUUCUUUUCUCUUGAAAACUUCAUGAGCUUUUGAUAAUUCAUUGUAUCCAUUAUUUGGUUUAUUGUAUAGUAUUUAUGAAAAACCAUUGACCUAGAAAAGUCAAAUUCCUAUUUUUGUGUAUAUCUCCUCAACAUUGUUGUUAGCUUAUCAAAGGGGGUGUCUUUAGUUUGCAGCCUUUGAAGAAAUUUUAUAAUAAUAACCCCAUGUUUUUUUCCUUGGUUAAUUGAACUUGUAUACCAUUAUUGCUCAAUAAAAAUUUGAUCUUUUUCUUAUCCUUUUUUUCUCUUGAGUUAUUAAUAGUUAAGGUCAUUUGGUCAGAAUCAGUUUCUUGGUUUUGUUUUUGAACUUUAGUAGGUGGGGUUAUGUUCUUGUUCAAUAAAAAAUUGAUCUUUUUGAUAAUUGUUUUCUUCUGAGUUAUUAGUUGUUAAGGUCAUUUCAUCAAAUUUGUUUCUUGGUUUUAUUUUUGAACUUUUGAAGGUGGGGGGUUAUGUUC